rnacentral:rRNA from 1 species
GGGGAAAAAUUAAUAAAAUAUAAAUAAUAAAAAAAUUUUUAAUAUUGGGGGGUAUUAAAGUAUUUUUUUAAAAAAAAAUAAAUUAUUUUAUAGUUAAUUAGUAUUGAAAAAGAAAUUUGAAAUAAAUGAAAAUAAAUUAAUAAAAAAGUAAUUUUAAUUUAGUGUAUCUUGUGUAUCAGAGUUUAUUAAAAAAUAUUUUUUAUAAAAAAAAAUCUCGAAUUUAAAAGAGUUAAUUAAUUAUAAAAGUUAAUGUAGAAAAAUUAUUUUAAAUAAUUAAUUUGAAAUGAAAUGUUAAUCGUUUUUAAAUAUAUCUAGUUAUUUUAGAAAAAAAUUUAAUUUAAAAUUUAAAAAAUUUUAUUAUUAAAUAGAUAAUUAAUAAUAAAAUAUUUAAAAUUAAAUAUAUUAAGGGAUAAGCUUUAAUAUAAAAAAUUAUAAUAAAUUAAAUUUUAAUAUAAAAAUUUUAAAAUUUAUAUUGUUUAAAAAUUAUAAUUUAUUAUAAAAAAUUUUAUAAAUAAUAAAAUUUAAUUUAAAAUUUAAUUUUAUAUAAAAUAAUAAUUUAUAAUAAAAAAAAAUUAAAAAUAAUGAUAAAAUUAGUAUAUUAAAUUAAAAAUAAAAUUUAAUUAAUUAAAAUUAAAUUAAAGGAAUUCGGCAAAAAUUUAUAUUCACUUGUUUAUCAAAAACAUGUCUUUUAGUGAAUAAUUUAAAGUCUAAUCUGCCCACUGAUAAAUAUAUUAAAGGGCUGCAGUAUAUUGACUGUACAAAGGUAGCAUAAUCAAUAGUCUUUUAAUUGAAGACUUGUAUGAAAGAUUUGAUGAGAUAUAGACUGUCUCUAAUUUAUAAAUAAAAUUUAAUUUUUUAGUUAAAAAGCUAAAAUAAAUUUAAAAGACGAGAAGACCCUAUAGAGUUUUAUAUUAUUUUUAUUUAAGAUUAUAUUUAUAAUUAAUAAUUAAAAAUAAAAAUAAUAUUUUAUUGGGGUGAUAGAAAAAUUUAUUUAACUUUUUUUUAAUUUAAUUACAUAAAUAAGUGAAUAAUUGAUCCAUAAAUAAUGAUUAAAAGAAAAAAUUACCUUAGGGAUAACAGCGUAAUAUUUUUUUCUAGUACGAAUAGAAAAAAAAGUUUGCGACCUCGAUGUUGGAUUAAGAUAAAAUUUAAAUGCAAAAGUUUAAAAUUUUGAUCUGUUCGAUCAUUAAAAUCUUACAUGAUCUGAGCUCAAACCGGUGUGAGCCAGGUUGGUUUCUAUCUUUAAAUUAAUAUAAUAUUUUAGUACGAAAGGAUCAAAUAUUAUUAAUAAUUAAAAUUUAAUGAAUAUUAAUAAUUUAAUUUAA